GCUGGAAACUAACAGGUAUUUUAUAUGCAUUAUGAUGAUCACCCAAUGAGAUAGGCACUUGGUAUCCCCAUUUACAGAAUAGGAAAUGGACUUAGAAGGGUUAAGUAGCUGCCAAAGGGUUGGUAAGUUGGAGCUGCCCGCUGGAUACUGUCUUCAAAGCUCCCUGGACAACACCUGGAAGCUGGCAGCUGAAUCAAGUCUGGUAACAAGAGGCCAGACUUGCCACUGUCAUAAUACAUCCUCUUGAAAGGGGCGAAGGAACGUUAACCUGAGCUGCUGAGGGUGAAUGUUGCAGUACAGAUACAUCUUAGUUGGGAACAAUCACAUGAAAUGGUAAUACAAUGGUGGCAAAAAUGCAAACUGAAGAUCUUAAGUAGCUCAAGAAGCUGGCUAAGGUAAGAGGAGUUAGUCUCUUAGAAGGGUUUAACUUGGUCCUUGUAGGAAACGCUGUCAGUGCACGAGGAAUGAGAACAUUUCUCAAAGGUCUGGCAUUGGAGGAUGUCCCAGGUAUCAUCUCUUCACGUAAGGUUUAGUGGACACAACUUACUUCUGGGAAGGUUUUCGUGAGAACAAAAGUGUAAAAGGGCUUGUUACAUAGGGUUCAUUAGAUUCACUAGAAAGCUGUUAGUUCUGUUGGCCUUCCAGUUGGAUUUAAAGCAACUGACCAAUCGGGGACACCAUUUUUUCUGACAAUGUUCUCUCAAGACGGUCCUUAUUUCUCAUUAAUAGCAGUUUGUCCCCUGUACCUAGUCGUUCCUACUGCUCUUCUCUGAUGACACUUUCUUGAGAGUUCAUUUAGUUCCAUGGUUAUAACUAACACUUCUUACAACCCUAGGUAAUGCCAUUACCUUUGAUCGGGACCCAUCAUGGGAGAGUUGAGCAACCCGUUUUAAGGAAUACACUUCCAACUCUAGCCCUUCAGGCCAACAAGAGUUUGCUGCAUGGGAGGUUGGCUGUGCACACUGUCUGCCCGAGGCAAUCCUCUUGACUUGUGUGACACUCAGACACCCAGCCUCACCUGGAGCUCUGGUCCUGGUGAGAAAGGCACCUGGUGUCAACCCACAGGCAGAGUCCUCCCAGCGGCCUGCAUAGAGGAGAACCAAGAUUCGCACUGAUACUCUGGCCCUGGGGAUCCCAGUGCCGGCAGAACCUUUCACGGACUCGGACAACACUAAGUUCAAGGACACCAACAACCCUCGCCAAACAAAAACGUCAUGACAGAAACUGCAAUGAGUUCCUUGAAACAUAAUUCGCUUUUCCGUGAGCCAGAAGUGGGUUUGGGGCAGGUCA